rnacentral:lncRNA from 1 species
UUGAGUAAAGAUCUUCCAGGACAUGCUCCUAAGUUCCCCCAGCUGCCACCUCCCCUCUCUCCCUCUUCCUUUCCAAGAAUCAUCUACACUCAGUGACUCUGUUUCCUUCUCAUUCCCUCCUCGACACAUUGCAAUCUGGAUUCUGCUGUUACUGCUUUACUGAAGAGACUCUGAGCGAGGUCACCGUGGCUUCCGUGUUGCCACGUGCAUGGAUGUUUUAAAGUCCUCGUCUCAUUUGAGCCCUCUGCAGCAUUUCACGCUGCAGUCUACUCAUUCCUUCUUGGAACUUUGUUCUCUUGGCUUCGAGACUCCACUGCUCUGUUUCUCCUAAUUCUGUGACCACUUCCUCUAGCCUCUGCUGAACUCUCCCUCUGUCCUUGUCUUACACAGCUCUGUUCUCUGCCCUUUUAAUUCCUCAUUGGCCUCUAAUUCCUUUUCACCCUUCCUUUUCUCUGAUCAGAGGCCACUAUCAUUUAACUCUUCUAAUUUCCAGGUGAAUCUUCUGCCUUCUUAGGAUAUCCUGGUCUAAUGCAACCUUUUCCUUCCUUCCUCCUUGGCAUGGCUUAAAUAAGGCCCAAGCAGUGUGCUCCAAAAUCUCCUUCACACAUCUUCCCGGGAGGCCUACCAACACCCAGGAAAACAGGAGCUGGGUUUCCUGCAGAUCAGGCCCCAGGGUGACCCUGAGAUGCCCUUCGUUGUUCCAAGUUAUAUUGAUAUCGGAGAGAGAGUGUCUCUGCAGGGUCUGUGAACAAGGCGGUUCUCUCUGUCCUGUGCCUGGAGCUCAUCUCCUGCAAAUGCGUUCCCAGUAAGUCAUUUUGGUUCACAGCCUAGUGUUGAAGAAGGCCCAGGGGCCAGAGAGCUGAUUACGGUUCUAGUUGACAAUUAUUCAGUUUUCACACUGCUCCUGGAAUCCUGACUUCCUCCCUGUUUGACUUGGAGAGUUAGAAGAUCUGAUUUGAUUGAAGUGGUAUAGGCUGUGAUUAUCAUAAGGAUUGGCAUAUUGAAUUGAAUUGAGAAGUACUGGACAACAAAUGUAAAUUAUUUUCUUCUGUUCUUUACUCCUCCACAACUGCGUAUUUACUGUUUACGGCUGACCCUCUGCAGA